AUUGAACGCUGGCGGCAGGCCUAACACAUGCAAGUCGAGCGGAGCGGUGGACGGGUGAGUAAUGCCUAGGAAUCUGCCUGGUAGUGGGGGAUAACGUCCGGAAACGGGCGCUCAUACCGCAUACUAUCAGUUGAGCCUAGGUCGGAUAGGCUAGUUGGUGGGGUAAAGGCAUACCAAGGAGACGAUCCGUAACUGGUCUGCGAGGAUGAUCAGUCACACUGAGACGGUGACCCGGUCCAUGCGCCUACGAGAGGCAGCAGUGGUGAAUAUUGGUCACAAGGCGAAAGCCUGGUCCAGCCGUGCCGCGUGUGGGAAGAAGGUCUUCGGAUUGUAGAGCACAUUAUGGUGGGUGGCGUUACCAACAGAAUAAGCACCGGCUAACUACGUGCCAGCCGCCGCGGUAAUAC
rnacentral:rRNA from 1 species